rnacentral:rRNA from 1 species
UACGGGGGGAGCAAGCGUUGUUCGGAUUUACUGGGCGUAAAGGGCGCGUAGGCGGUCAGCACAAGUCAGUUGUGAAAUCUCCGAGCUUAACUCGGAAAGGUCAACUGAUACUGUGCGACUAGAGUGCGGAAGGGGCAACUGGAAUUCUUGGUGUAGCGGUGAAAUGCGUAGAUAUCAAGAGGAACACCUGCGGCGAAGGCGGGUUGCUGGGCCGACACUGACGCUGAGGAGCGAAAGUGUGGGGAGCGAACAGG